GACGGGACCGCACAAGCGGUGGAUGAUGUUGGUUUAAUUCGAUGCAACGCGAAAACCUUACCCACCUUUGACAUGGCAGGAAUCCUAAAGAGAUUUGGGAGUGCUCGAAAGAGAACCUGCACACAGGUGCUGCAUGGCUGUCGUCAGCUCGUGUCGUGAGAUGUUGGGUUAAGUCCCGCAACGAGCGCAACCCUUGCCAUUAGUUGCUACGAAAGGGCACUCUAAUGGGACUGCCGGUGACAAACCGGAGGAAGGUGGGGAUGACGUCAAGUCCUCAUGGCCCUUAUAGGUGGGGCUACACACGUCAUACAAUGGCCGGUACAGAGGGUAGCCAACCCGCGAGGGGGAGCCAAUCCCACAAAGCCGGUCGUAGUCCGGAUCGCAGUCUGCAACUCGACUGCGUGAAGUCGGAAUCGCUAGUAAUCGCGGAUCAGCAUGUCGCGGUGAAUACGUUCCCGGGUCUU
rnacentral:rRNA from 1 species